rnacentral:rRNA from 1 species
GGNGGGAGGCCUGAAGCCAGUUGCUGCGAGGCGCUGUUUAGGGUUAAACCGAUGAUUAGGGCU